UACGAAGGGGGCUAGCGUUGCUCGGAAUCACUGGGCGUAAAGGGUGCGUAGGCGGGUCUUUAAGUCAGAGGUGAAAUCCUGGAGCUCAACUCCAGAACUGCCUUUGAUACUGAAGAUCUUGAGUUCGGGAGAGGUGAGUGGAACUGCGAGUGUAGAGGUGAAAUUCGUAGAUAUUCGCAGGAACACCAGUGGCGAAGGCGGCUCACUGGCCCGAUACUGACGCUGAGGCACGAAAGCGUGGGGAGCAAACAGG
rnacentral:rRNA from 1 species